GACGAACCGUCCAAACGUUAUUCGGAAUCACUGGGCUUACAGAGUUCGUAGGCGGUCUGGCAAGUUGGGUGUGAAAUCCCUCGGCCUAACCGAGGAACUGCGCUUGAAACUACCAGACUCGAGGGGGAUAGAGGAAAGCGGAACUGAUGGUGGAGCGGUGAAAUGCGUUGAUAUCAUCAGGAACACCGGUGGCGAAGGCGGCUUCCUGGGUCUUACCUGACGCUGAGGAACGAAAGCGUGGGUAGCAAACAGG
rnacentral:rRNA from 1 species